UGGGGAAUAUUGGACAAUGGGCGCAAGCCUGAUCCAGCCAUACCGCGUGGGUGAAGAAGGCCUUCGGGUUGUAAAGCCCUUUUGUUGGGAAAGAAAUCCAGCUGGUUAAUACCCGGUUGGGAUGACGGUACCCAAAGAAUAAGCACCGGCUAACUUCGUGCCAGCAGCCGCGGUAAUACGAAGGGUGCAAGCGUUACUCGGAAUUACUGGGCGUAAAGCGUGCGUAGGUGGUUAUUUAAGUCCGUUGUGAAAGCCCUGGGCUCAACCUGGGAACUGCAGUGGAUACUGGAUGACUAGAAUGUGGUAGAGGGUAGCGGAAUUCCUGGUGUAGCAGUGAAAUGCGUAGAGAUCAGGAGGAACAUCCAUGGCGAAGGCAGCUACCUGGACCAACAUUGACACUGAGGCACGAAAGCGUGGGGAGCAAACAGG
rnacentral:rRNA from 1 species